AUCCAAGUGCAGGGGUUUUACGCGUAUCAGUGAGGACUUUGUCCGAGAUUGCGUUUUUGCUAGUUGAAAACUACAUACCCGACCACUUCCAGUAUGGCUUCGGCUGGCUGGGGAAUUUUUGGAAACCGCACCUUUCAAAUUCUCGCUCUCGG
rnacentral:snRNA from 1 species